AGGAAAAGAAACUAACAAGGAUUCCCCUAGUAACGGCGAGUGAAGUGGGAAAAGCUCAACUUUGAAAUCUGGUACUUUCAGUAUCCGAAUUGUAGUCUCAAGAAGUGUUUUCUGUGCUGGUCCAUGUAUGAGUCUGUUGGAACACAGCGUCAUAGAGGGUGACAACCCCGUUCAUGACAUGGAUACCAGUGCUUUGUGAUACACUCUCGAAGAGUCGAGUUGUUUGGGAAUGCAGCUCAAAUUGGGUGGUAAAUUCCAUCUAAAGCUAAAUAUUGGCGAGAGACCGAUAGCAAACAAGUACCGUGAGGGAAAGAUGAAAAGCACUUUGGAAAGAGAGUUAACAGUACGUGAAAUUGUUGAAAGGGAAACGAUUGAAGUCAGACGUGCGUGAUGCGGUUCAGCUCUGGUUCGCCAGAGUGUACUCCGUAUCUUUGCAGGCCAACAUCGGUUUUGUUAGUCGGAUAAAGGUUUGAGAAAUGUGGCAUCUUCGGAUGUGUUAUAGUCUCAGACUGAAUACGAUUGAUGGGACCGAGGAACGCAGCGCGCCGCAAGGCAAAGGUUCCGACCUUUUCGCGCUUAGGAUGUUGGUGAAAUGGCUUUAAACGACCCGUCUUGAA
rnacentral:rRNA from 1 species